GCUCAGUAACACGUGGAUAACCUACCCUUAGGACCGGGAUAACCUUGGGAAACUGAGGAUAAUACUGGAUAGGCAAUUAUUCCUGCAAUGGUUUUUUGUUUAAAUGUUUUUUCGCCUAAGGAUGGGUCUGCGGCCGAUUAGGUAGUUGGUUAGGUAAUGGCUUACCAAGCCAUUGAUCGGUACGGGUUGUGAGAGCAAGAGCCCGGAGAUGGAACCUGAGACAAGGUUCCAGGCCCUACGGGGUGCAGCAGGCGCGAAACCUCCGCAAUGUGAGAAAUCGCGACGGGGGGAUCCCAAGUGCCAUUCUUAACGGGAUGGCUUUUCAUUAGUGUAAAGAGCUUUUGGAAUAAGAGCUGGGCAAGACCGGUGCCAGCCGCCGCGGUAACACCGGCAGCUCUAGUGGUAGCAGUUUUUAUUGGGCCUAAAGUGUCCGUAGCCGGUUUAAUAAGUCUCUGGUGAAAUCCUGUAGCUUAACUGUGGGAAUUGCUGGAGAUACUAUUAGACUUGAGAUCGGGAGAGGUUAGAGGUACUCCCAGGGUAGAGGUGAAAUUCUGUAAUCCUGGGAGGACCGCCUGUUGCGAAGGCUUCUAACUGGAACGAUUCUGACGGUGAGGGACGAAAGUUAGGGGCGCGAACCGGAUUAGAUACCCGGGUAGUCCUAACUGUAAACGAUGCGGACUUGGUGUUGGGGUGGCUUUGAGCUGCUCCAGUGCCGAAGGAAAGCUGUUAAGUCCGCCGCCUGGAAGUACGGUCGCAAGACUGAAACUUAAAGGAAUUGGCGGGGGAGCACCACAACGCGUGAGCCUGCGGUUUAAUUGGAUUCAACGCCGGACAUCUCCCCAGAGGCGACAGCUGUUAUGAUAGCCAGGCUGAUGACUUUGCUUGACUAGCUGAGAGGAGGUGCAUGGCCGCCGUCAGCUCGUACCGUGAGGCGUCUGUUAAGUCAGCCAACGAGCGAAACCCACGCCCUUAGUACCAGCGAUCCAUUGAUGCCGGGCCACUAGGGACCGCCUUAUGAUAAUAGAGAAGAAUGACGACGUAGUUCGGUAUUGCCCGGAUCCUCUGCACACCGCCGCUACAUGGCCUAGACC
rnacentral:rRNA from 1 species